UACGUAGGUGGCAAGCGUUGUCCGGAUUUACUGGGCGUAAAGAGUGCGCAGGCGGUCGGUCAAGUCGCGUGUGAAAGCCCCCGGCUCAACUGGGGAGGGUCACGCGAUACUGAUCGACUCGAAGGCAGGAGAGGGUAGUGGAAUUCCCGGUGUAGUGGUGAAAUGCGUAGAUAUCGGGAGGAACACCAGUGGCGAAGGCGACUACCUGGCCUGUUCUUGACGCUGAGGCGCGAAAGCUAGGGGAGCAAACGGG
rnacentral:rRNA from 1 species